CGAUCACGGCCACAGAAUCACCAGCACGCAUUUCAGCAGCAUGUCUCAUGGCACCAUAGGCAGUGAAUACAGCACAACCUAAAAUUGCAAACUCGGUGUAUGGCAAUGCGUUGGAAAUAACUGCUAAUGCAUUUGCAGGCACGACACAGUACUCGGCAAGUCCCCCCAUACUGUACAUGUACACCGGCUUACCACUAUUGCGGAGAAAUAGUCGGGUUUCUCCAUCAUAAAGUGUUCCUUUAGCACGGUUGUAAGCAAAGAAAGCCUCGCAUAGG
rnacentral:misc_RNA from 1 species